UAACACCACAGAUGGUCUUAUCUCCAUAUAAGCCUUCCACUGAUUCAGACAGAGAGCCGAACAAUGCCAUGUGAUUAGGAAGAUUGCUUCAACAAUGAAGAAGGAGAAAGGUCUGAAGGAGAAGUAGGACUACAUCUGAAAAGCAAAGCUUUGGAAAAUCACAUCUAUUUUCAGAGCAGUAAUGCCUCGACUGCUUGAGAUCUUCUGUGGACUAUUUAACAAAUGAAGCUCAGUCAUAAAACUUAAUAUGCUCCUGCUCAAAGGAAGGUUUCUGAAGAUGUUCAAGUUCCUUGCCCAUUCCCACCUUUGGCCUAAUUCACGAAGACCUUGUUUUUCCUCAUGUCAGAGCAGGCCUAACUUAUUUGGAAAAAUGGAACAAAGAUAUUGCACACCAUCACCUCUUUUCUUUUGG